UACGUAGGGAGCGAGCGUUGUCCGGAAUCAUUGGGCGUAAAGCGCGCGUAGGCUGCCCGAUAAGUCCGCUGUAAAAGUCAACGGCUCAACCGUUGAAAGCCGGUGGAUACUGUCGGGCUAGAGUCCGGAAGAGGCAAGUGGAAUUCCUGGUGUAGCGGUGGAAUGCGCAGAUAUCAGGAGGAACACCCAUAGCGAAGGCAGCUUGCUGGGACGGUACUGACGCUAAGGCGCGAAAAGCGUGGGGAGCGAACAGG
rnacentral:rRNA from 1 species